UUGGAGUGCUUCUUAGAACAAAAUCC
rnacentral:piRNA from 1 species